GCAAGAAUGGCUCAGCAGUUAAGAGCACUGACUGAUGUUCCAGAGGAUUUGGGUUCAAUUCCCAGGCCUUCCA
rfam:Neotoma lepida isolate 417 scaffold_1596, whole genome shotgun sequence.